rnacentral:rRNA from 1 species
AGAGUUUGAUCCUGGCUCAGAUUGAACGCUGGCGGUAUGCCUUACACAUGCAAGUCGAACGGUAGAGGAGCAAUCCUCGAGAGUGGCGAACGGGUGAGUAAUACAUCGGAACGUGCCCAGUCGUGGGGGAUAACGUAGCGAAAGCUACGCUAAUACCGCAUACGACCCGAGGGUGAAAGCGGGGGACUCGCAAGAGCCUCGCGCGAUUGGAGCGGCCGAUGGCAGAUUAGGUAGUUGGUGGGGUAGAGGCCCACCAAGCCUGCGAUCUGUAGCUGGUCUGAGAGGACGACCAGCCACACUGGGACUGAGACACGGCCCAGACUCCUACGGGAGGCAGCAGUGGGGAAUUUUGGACAAUGGGCGAAAGCCUGAUCCAGCCAUACCGCGUGCGGGAAGAAGGCCUUCGGGUUGUAAACCGCUUUUGUCAGGGAAGAAAUACUUCGGGCUAAUACCCUGGGGUGAUGACGGUACCUGAAGAAUAAGCACCGGCUAACUACGUGCCAGCAGCCGCGGUAAUACGUAGGGUGCAAGCGUUAAUCGGAAUUACUGGGCGUAAAGCGUGCGCAGGCGGUUCUAUAAGACAGAUGUGAAAUCCCCGGGCUNCACCUGNGAACUGCAUUUGUGACUGUAGAGCUAGAGUACGGUAGAG